GUGUAAUGCUGAAUGCCAAAGCUGGUAGUAAUUAAAUUUGUAUGUUUUACAGCUGAAGUUUCACUUAGAUAAUUUCUUAUUAAUCUUCAUAUUCCUAUGGGCCUUUUACUCUCUUUGCAGCUGGAAAAUCAAAGCUUGGAGAGACUGGUGAUUUGUAGUAUCUAAGAGGCAAAGCAAGACUUAAGAAUAACUCUGGUUCCAGGGAGUCUGGAUAACAUCUUGCAACAAAGGGGUCUGGUUCUCGUGUCCUGCAUCUCUCUGGCCAUAAAGAAGAAAAAUAUCUGUGUCAGCUGACAAGGUCUGGCACCUGCCCAGCAAUCUGAAGACCACCAGCAGGAAAGAAAAAUGUGCCUUUUGGCACGUAGCCCUGAACUGGACUCUUGGACUUCCCCUAUAAAACCCCUGACCCACUUCUUGACGGGGAGCCAGCAGUUCCUAAGGUGCUAGCCUGCUGCUGCUCCCUUUGCCUGGAUUGCUUUCCUUUUCACCCAAAACUCUGUUCUCAUUAUUUGAAUUGGCACUGAGUUCAGAGACUGAACUUUAGGUAACAACGCUUUGACUUCUUGGGGCCUUGUUGACACUGGAGAGACUGGAGGUUAACUAAUUCCUAAAGAUAGCAAGCAACUUGGUUGUGAGUGUGCCUUUCAUAUGCAAUCCAGAGCCCAUACCCCCAACCACCUGUCUUUUGGGAUCUUAUAGUCUAGGCCACUAUCCACCUGCCCUAGUCACCCAGGAUCAGGUACUAGACAACUAGGGACAGCCCUAUGAUCCAGGACCUGCUGAAAUUAUUCAAACUAGCCAAUCCUAGGCCUGCUUACCCUGCCUCACCUGUUCCUUCCUAUGGAAACCACGAUAAAAGCUAUUGCCCACAUUUCUGUCUACUAGCCUCAUCAUACCUAAUUAUAAUAUAACAUGUAUGUUAACACAUGGGCUGGUGUUCACAUUGGCUUAUCUGGUAGUAGACACUGAAAGGGAGUUUGGGGUUCAAGAUUGUGAUAUUGUGAUUUAUAAUAAGAAAUAUAUGUUUGUUCUUUGUCCUCAUUUUCUGCACAGAACUCCUAAAACCACUGGAAUUUCCUAAGUGAUAAAGAUGUCUUUUGUGUGUUAAUGAGGUGACUUUCGGAAUGCCCCUAGGUCACCUAAGGGUGGGAACUGGUCAGCAGAGGAAUCAACCAUUUGAUUAGAGGAUUGGAACUUUUAGUCCCCC
rnacentral:lncRNA from 1 species